GAUGAACGCUAGCGGGAGGCUUAACACAUGCAAGUCGAGGGGCAGCAUAGGGUAGCAAUACUCUGAUGGCGACCGGCAAACGGGUGAGUAACGCGUAUGCAACCUACCCUGUACAGGGGGAUAACCCGGAGAAAUUCGGACUAAUAUCCCGUAAUAAUAUCCGGAGGCAUCUUUGGAUAUUUAAAGUUCCGACGGUACGGGAUGGGCAUGCGUAACAUUAACUGGUUGGUAAGGUAACGGCUUACCAAGGCUAUGAUGUUUAGGGGUCCUGAGAGGGUGGUCCCCGACAACGUGGUACUGAGACACGGACCAGACUCCUACGGGAGGCAGCAGUGAGGAAUAUUGGUCAAUGGGCGCAAGCCUGAACCAGCCAUCCCGCGUGCAGGAAGACGGCCCUAUGGGUUGUAAACUGCUUUUCCAGGGAGAGAAACUUACGCACGUGUUGCGUGACUGACGGUACCCUGGGAAUAAGCAUCGGCUAACUCCGUGCCAGCAGCCGCGGUAAUAGU
rnacentral:rRNA from 1 species